UAUUAAUAACGGAGAACACUCAGUCCGUCCUCCAAUGAAGAGCGUGGUUAUCCGCGUGAAACGAUGCGAAAUAUAGGACUCAGUGAACAUUGACACUUCGAAUGCACAUUGCAGCUCCGGAACCGCAUCCUGUCGAGAUAUUUUGCUAGUGGAGGCG
rnacentral:rRNA from 1 species